AAUAGAUACCCGGUAGUCCACGCCGUAAACGAUGAGUGCUAAGUGUUAGGGGGUUUCCGCCCCUUAGUGCUGCAGCUAACGCAUUAAGCACUCCGCCUGGGGAGUACGGUCGCAAGACUGAAACUCAAAGGAAUUGACGGGGGCCCGCACAAGCGGUGGAGCAUGUGGUUUAAUUCGAAGCAACGCGAAGAACCUUACCAGGUCUUGACAUCCCAUUGACCACUAUGGAGACAUAGUUUUCCCUUCGGGGACAACGGUGACAGGUGGUGCAUGGUUGUCGUCAGCUCGUGUCGUGAGAUGUUGGGCUAAGUCCCGCAACGAGCGCAACCCUUGUUCUUAGUUGCCAUCAUUUAGUUGGGCACUCUAAGGAGACUGCCGGUGACAAACCGGAGGAAGGUGGGGAUGACGUCAAAUCAUCAUGCCCCUUAUGACCUGGGCUACACACGUGCUACAAUGGACGGUACAAACGGUUGCCAACCCGCGAGGGGAGCUAAUCCGAUAAAACCGUUCUCAGUUCGGAUUGUAGGCUGCAACUCGCCUACA
rnacentral:rRNA from 1 species